CCUGUACUUGGUAAAAGAAUGAUGGAGUGACGAAAAAGGAUAGUUCUACCACUUACUGGAUUGUGGGGUAAGCAACAAGAGAGUUAUAUAGGCAAAUCCGUAUAGCAUAAUCUUGAGUUGUGAUGCAUAGUGAAGACUUCGGUCGAGUAACGAAUUGAAUGAUUUCAUGUUUCCAAGAAAAGCUUCUAGUGUUAAUUUUUUAUCAACCUGUACCGAGAACGAACACACGUUCCCAAGAUGAGUAUUCUAAGGCGAGCGAGAAAACCAAUGUUAAGGAACUCUGCAAAAUAACCCCGUAAGUUCGCGAGAAGGGGCGCCUAUUUUUAAUAGGCCACAGAAAAUAGGGGGGGCAACUGUUUAUCAAAAACACAGCUCUCUGCUAAGUUGUAAAACGACGUAUAGAGGGUGAAGCCUGCCCAGUGCCCGAAGGUUAAACGGAGAUGUUAG
rnacentral:rRNA from 2 species